GACGAACGCUGGCGGCGUGCUUAACACAUGCAAGUCGAACGAAGUGGCGAACGGGUGCGAAAUACGCGGGUAACCUGCCCUCCUUUUUGGGAUACGACUUGGAAAAGGGGUAUAUUACCGAAUAAAGGGGGAGGGGCUCGCGGCCUGUCGGUUUGUUGGGGGGGUGAUUGCCUACCAAGGGGGUGACGGGUAGCCGGACUGAGAGGGUGACCGGCGACAUGGGAACUGAGAUACGGCCCAGACUCCUACGGGGGGCAGCAGUUGGGGAAAUGGCACAAUGGGCGAAAGCCGGAUGCAGCGGCGCGGCGUGGGGGAUGAGGGUUUUAGGGUUGUAAAACUCUUUCGCUAGCGAAUGGGUAGGUGGAGAAGAAGCGCCGGCUAACUACGUGCCAGCAGCCGCGGUAAUAC
rnacentral:rRNA from 1 species